rnacentral:lncRNA from 1 species
AUGUUGGAGAAGGAGCCGCGUCGGAACCGCGCGACUCGGCCACCCGGCUGCAGGCCGGCGGCUCCCGGCGGGCGGUGCCGGCGCCAGUGGGGGCCUCAGCGCCCCGGGCUCCUUCCGGGCUCUCCCGCCCGCCGGGCUCCCCGCCGGCUCCGGAGGCAGCAGCGGCGCGGCCCGGGGCGAAGCGGCCGUGGGGCCAAAUUGGGCGCCGGGCGCGAGCCGAGGCCGCCGCGGACCCCGCAAUCCCGCAGCCGGCGACUGGAGCCCACCUCUGCGGAGACAAAGGCAGGAGUGCCAUUCCUUUCGCUCUUCUCAUGGAAGCUGCUCCAGAGAACCCCAGCUGAAGGUAAACGUCCUUGGCUAGCUCCCCUCAUCAUUAAUCCAUGGGCAUGGCCAUCCAGGCUUCAAAUGUGCCUGUAAGAGGUAACCUCUCCUCACCCCAACCCCAUCCUUUCAAGGACACUGCUUUGGACUUCUAGUAAUACAUUUAUAAAUAUGUGCAUUAGGGUUUCAAUGUGUGAGUUCUCUAUUAACAUCCUCACACCAAGUCCCUAAGUGGUCAUACACUUAAGUAGGAAGCACACAGCACCCUCUGGAGCAGGCUAUGUGUAUCCCUUGAAAAAGUUCUGAUGACCUUGGAUGUUUCUGAUUAAAGUGCUUCUGUUGCCAUGUGUCUGCAAAAGUCAUAUUCUUUCUAGAAAAAGUCAGUGAGUUCCAACUUUGCUGGAGGUACCCAGAGCAGCAGCCAGGUUCAUUAAAAUGUUCUCUUUCCCCUGUUCACCGCCAGAUGCAUUCGGAUUCAGCAAACAGUGGGAAAGCAGAGGACACAAGUUUGGAUGGGAAAUAGUAACACCUUCUGCAGUGAAGAAUAAUUAAACAAUAUUUUAAUUACACAAAAUCGAGCAUGUUGUUGGACCUUCCCAAACAGUUAACACUUUAUGCUGGUCUAUACAUGACUAUACAUUCAGAACAUUGUUUAGUUCUGAAACAUUCUGAGAAAUAAACCUCAAUUGUCAAUUUUCCUCUACCCAAAUAAAGGCAGAGUUUAUGACCCUCUAUUUCAGCUGGUGGAAGGAGGGCUGGGAAAAGACUGCACUUUUGAAAAGGCAGCCAUAUUUGUACUUUUUCACCCUGUGCAGAGAUAAGCCAUGUGCUGGGCUUUGUGGAACCUCACAAAAUGGCAGCCCCUGAAUUGACUUUUCUCUAGGAACCGUUGAGACCCACACCUUCUUUUUGUGUGUGUUUCUGGUCUACGCAGAGAACCCAAAUCACUUAGGACCCUUGGUUUUUUCAAUCAGCGUUAACAUUGGAGGGUCCUAUUUUUCUGUAAAUGAUUUACAGACCUCUCUAAGCAGACUCUCUAAGCAGUCAGAAGGGGUCUCUGAAGAUUUAUGCAAAUUUCUGCAGCAAAAAUGUUGGUUCGAUAUGCUUCAACCCGCGGAUGUUUACAGAUCCGAGCCAAUUAGAAGGGCAUCUCCUGCACUCGUCACUGGGAGUUGUCUGCAUGAGACACAGAUGGGGGUUUCUAGCCACUGCAAGAAAGAAGGUGGUGAGUGGGUGUGAUUGUAAUUCCACAGACUCUUUAUUUGAAGACAAAUCUGUUUUCCCCAACUACAAAAGGAAGCAUGUAUACCUACAUUAAUUACCAACACUUUCUCCAUGAGUAAUCUAUGUAUAUGUACAACAAAUAUAUACCCAAAAUACCAAAUGUGUAAAUGUACAAAUACUCGCAAGUGUACUAAUUUUUGCAAGUCUUUUUGUGUACAUGAGCUACGAAUUUACCAUAGGUUAGGGGUCCAACAGGGCCAGAAGGUACAACACUUUCAGAGUAGCACAAAAUGGAGGAAAAAACAUUUUUACCACCCUUCCUUAACAGAUUUCCACAUUAAUCCAUGCACCGGGUCCCCCACCAUUUAGAGUCUUGCCCAAAUCAAUGGCUCUAAAAAUGAUUUUCAGGGAGAAUUCUUGUGUAGAAGACAGUGAAUUUUGCUAAUAGAGGAAUCCCUUAAAUGGAGGGCAGCUGGAGCCUAGCCAGCACCAGUUUCUAGCCAGCUUAGUCCCACCCUCUCCAUAGCCAGACUGUUCCCUAGCCAUGCUUUCAAGCACUUGGCACACUUGCUCUAAACCAGUCAACAGCAGUCUCAGGCAACACACAGAGCAAAACGUUUCCAAAUCCAGCAGGCACGUUUGCAGCUGUCUCUUCUUGUGCAAAUGUUUCUUAAGCCCUGGGCCGCCACCCUUGACUUAAAACUCUUUCCUGGCUCAGGUCAGCAAAUGCCACAGCCAUGGCCUCUUCCCUGGAUAGAAAGCCAGGUGGUGCUUCGCCUCUGGCCUAACCUGUGCCAACUUUUCCCUGGUCCUUGAAGCAGCAGGCAAACAGCCCACCAUCACCUGAACAAGUGAUACAGGCCCCAAAGUAUAGGAUUCCAUUUUCAUACCUGUGCAAUAAAAGCCACUCUGGAAAUUAAGAUGUACCUCUUUAAAAACAUACAGGCAUCUAGAAAAAGAAGAGAAUUCUGCAAAGUCUACCUGAUAAAGGGGCUUUCCCUUUUGUGAAGAGAAAUGUUAGUUUACUUGAAUUUCUCCUCUUCCCUCCUGUCCCUCUUCCCCCUCCUCUUCCCUCAUAAAAUGGCAGCUGCAGGAGUAGCCUCAAAUGGAAAAUGGAUAUCUUGUUAAUAACAGAUCCCAAACCCCAGCAUCAGCGCUGGCUCAAUGGAAUAAACUGUGGUAUAAUCUGGACUCUGAGUUGCUACCCACUGGGCCUACAACUCCAGUCUUUUGCGAAGUUCAAAGCUCUCCCAGUAUCUUAUCAAGGUUGUUUAGAGCAAGAUGAAGCUAGAAUAGCCUAGCCUCUCUGAAAUGAAAGAGAGCCCCCCCCCCACCUCGCAUUUAUUUAUUUUUAUAGCAAGGGUGCAGGUAACCCCCCUCCCACCUUUUAAAAAUCAAAUAGAUGCUUUAGCAGGAUGCUGCCUUCCCAUGAGCCCUGGAGAUUGUUCCUGACUCAGGAAAAGGGUUAUUGGCGGCGCUCAAAGACACUAGCUCUAGAAAAAGGAUUCAUUUCUUUUAUUAAGGAGCUAGCUAUAUUCUGCAGCGGUUGUUUACACUUGGACUUUUCUGCAUUUGCUCUCAAGGCUUGUUUCAAAUAGGUGAGGCCAACCUGGAGAACAGCAGAGGACGUACCAACCGAUAUCUGAGAUGCACACAAGUUGGCUCACAAUGGUCGUGCAAACAGAGAGAAGAGAAUACAAAAUAAAUAUGGCACCUCCUCAGAAAACACACACACACACACACACACACACACAAACCGGAAUCACAGCGGCGGCCACAGCACAAAGACCUAGCAAUUGCAGGCGAUACCAAGCAAGCACAGUUCAAAACGAAAGCAAAUUCAGAAAGGAGAGGCGUUCCACAAGGUGACUUGCCAGACUAAAAAGUAUCUAAGUGAAAAUGUUAUAAUUGACUUUUCAAGUAUUCAUUCACUCUAGAUGAUUAAACUGCCAUAAUCUGUAUAAACUAUAGAAAAAUUAUUAAAUGUCAACUUUGACAUUGUCCUGAAACUUCUGUCACUAGCCGAACAUUUUCCCCAAGUUUAAGGAAGCUGCAGAGCCAGGACUAUACAUUACACUCUUAAGCUAACAUGUGCUUUUCUCAAUAUUUGGCCCAGACUUUUCCCAGAGAUAUUACAUUUACAAAAUUCUCAAAGAAACCUUUUAGGAGUAAACAAAAGGCACCCGAACCAUUCAUUAUAAAAGCAGAAAAAAAUAUAAAUAACACAUUUUAAUCAAAUAAUAUAAAGUAAAUAUUCUGCGGGCAUAAUUUUUUAAAAUUAAUAAACUUCUUUUAAUUUACUCACCAUAAAGAAAAGAUUUAAAAUGUUCAAGUGCACUUGUUUGAUUAAUAAAGCAUUUUAUAUUCAAUUAUUUAGUGCUAAUCAUUAGGAAGUUUACGUUGUCGAGGCAAAAUCACCAGCUCAGACAUUAAAAACUACCAUUAUAAAAAUAUAGCUACAAGGUCAGUAUCAAAUUACUCUUACAUAGGACAGCUCAAGGGCUGUUUCUAUGCGACACUAGAAACAUUUUUUUAAACACCCAAAUCCCUCUCAAAGCGCAGAAACCUCAAGAGCAGUGACAUGAAGGUAGCUUGAAACACAGGUAAAGUCCUUUCCAAAAAAGAAAACAGGUGGUGUCCACCAGCAUAUGCUGAUCAUUAGUUUUAAUAGUCUGCGGUAAAUUUUUAAAGGUAGAAGUCAAUUUGUCGGGCCUUCAGCUCGGUCUUCCUCCAGCUCUUGGGCUUCCUUUUUGGUUUCCCCAUCCUUCGCCUCCUGUCUGGAAACCGGGAAUUUGUCCUUGUUGUUCUCCUUUUUCCAUUUCAUUCUCCUGUUCUGGAACCAGAUUUUUACCUGUCUCUCGGUGAGGGCUAAGGCAUGGGAAACCUCGAUUCUUCUCUUCCUGGUCAGAUAAGGGUUAAAAAGGAAUUCCUUUUCCAACUCUAAGGUUUGGAAACGACUGUAGGUUUGUCUUCCCCUUCUUCUACCAGGAGCUGCUGAUUAAAACAAAGAGAAAAAAAAGAGGAAAAUAAACAUUAAAAAUGUAAUGGUGCGUCUGCAGGUUGCUGGGGGUUUCUGAAACAGGUCUAAGGGGUGAAAUAUACACAACUCUCCUUAGGUCUGAUAUAAUAUAUAGCAUGGGCAGGCAAGAGGGACAGCGAGAACGUCCUAGCAAUUAUUAUGACCCCCAUCAUCUUUUCAUGGUUUCUACUUUAAAGAAAAAAAAAGUCUGUACUACUUCAUGAAUAAGUCACUGUAAGCUACACCAGAAGAAAAAGGAGAGGGAGAGAAAAGGGGAGUUUUAAAGCAAUUACGUGAGAUGAAAGCAGAUUUCUCCCCCUCUCCCCGCUUAAAAAAAAAAAAAAAUUGCAUCCCAACCUUGUGGUCUCAUCCAGGGAAACAUUUGAGAAGGAGACGAGCUCUGAUUUAAGUGGUCUGGGUCCUCGCCAAUAUUACCACUGGACGAUUUACAGUCAGGAUAUUGUACCAGCUCGGCCUCUUGCUGGGUCGUAAAAAUCGGCUGUCUCUGUAAGUUAUCGUAUCCGUAAAACUUCGCGGGCUCCCCGUGACAGGCAAUCCCACCGCAGGGGGGAGGCGGCGGCGGAGGAGGUGGGGCGGCCUGGUAGGCUGCGGCUGGGCUGCCCCCGCCGGGGUGGAAGUAGUCCUGGCCGGGACCCGGGCCGCCCCCACUACUGCAACCCGGCCCGGCGGGCGGCGGCGAUGGGUGCGGGUGCGCGUGCGGGAAGCCGGCGGCGCUGUUGCCAUAGAGCUGCAAGGCGGCGGCAGCGGCGUGGCGGCCGCCG